CUGGAACAGACAAGAAGACAUUAGGUGUACAUUCUGAGGCCUCAAGCAAAGCAUGAGAAGGAGUCACCAUUUCUCCUAGAACCAUCCUUCUGAGGACUCUCAGGACAAAUUGAGCAUGCAGUUGUGAACUCAGAUGCUGGAGAAGUUUCUCCAACUGAAGUUGGCUUAAGUUUGCUCUGGGUUGUGCUGCAGUGAGCUUUGGAGACAAGGUGUUUGAUGCUGCAAUUCAGUGAAUUAGCUUCCUCUGGGCCUUGAGAAUACCUGAUCCCACCCCCAUCUUCUGUCCUUGCUUCUCUUGAUUGAUACCAGUUGAAGAUUUGAACUUUGAUCUUGUUUGCCUGUCUCCUUUGUGAUGCAUAAUGACUUACAUAUGUUUAAGUAGAAUAUUUAUGAUAAAACCACCUGGUUUCUCUAAAGAAUACUAGGAGGAAUGACUCAUUUUUCCCCCUGAUUAGAGUGCAGAACAUUGCCUUUUUGGUUUUAGUUUUGUCUAGCAGUACUUCUGCUAUUGUGACAAAUGUUAUGGAGCACUGUGUACCAAAAUAGAUGUCGUAUCCAUCUCAAAUCACCGACACUAACAAUAGAAAGGAAAAGUAAUUAAAAAUAAAACCUCUCAAAAGAACACAUCCUCCAAGGAAAGGAAAAUGAGACGUAGCAUGUUAAUUCCACAAGCAGACGCAUCUAAAGCCUCUCUCGGGAUAGUGGAAAACACAGCAAACAUCUGGGAGAUUUCAACUGUGAAAGAAAAUUAUAAUCAUUGGUUACAAAGACUUUUCGUGCCCCUUGCUUGUAAACAGUCGAAUAAGUCCAUGGAAAAGUAUAUACAUAGGAGGAAUCAUGAAAUCUCAAACUAAAUAUCCCUAGUCAGGAUAAAAGAGUAAAUUUCGGGCAGAAAUUCAGGAAACUACUGGAAAAAAAAUCUGUUUCCAAAUCUGAACUUUAGAAUACAACUCAUAAAUCAGCCCCCAAUUACCUCACUGGCCUUGUGGCCUGCAAUCCUCCCACACUGGCCCCUCCUGGCUGCUUGAAUAUAUUAGGGCUUCUCACUCGCUGGUGCUACUGCCUAGUAUGCUCUGUGUAAGUGUGGCUUUCUCCCUCACUUCCUUCAGAUGUCAGCUAACAUAUCACUUCCUAGCUUUAGUCCUGAAGGGGUUUUCCUCAUUACACUUAUUAUUUCCUGACUAAUUACACAUGCGUGUAUGCUUGGUUGUUGCUUAUCUUCCCUUUCUAGAAUGUUAGCUCCUUGAGGGAAAGGACUUUGUUUUGUUCAGUGUUAACAUUCUGGAACUUGAGAUGGUGCUUGGCUCAUGGAAAAUACACACUGGUAUUUGUUGAAUGAAUAAAUGAAAAGUAUAAAAGAAUGGGAAAAACAGAAUGUGUGGUGAUGUGACGUCCCACCCAGAUCCCUCUGUAAGGAAGGAGGACUUGUUGCCCCACAGCCUUCAGCUGUCAGCCCUUUCAGAUCACCUCAGCUGCAGAGGUGAGCUGCCAAGGUUACAUCAUUUUGUGGGUGGGCCACACACAAUGACUGAUUGAGGCAAAGGUGUGAAGAAAAGGCCAUGUGGUUUUAACACAGGAAAAAUAUGAAGUUGAGCCACAUUAACUCCGAGAUGGCCAAGGCUGCUGGUCUGAAUCAUAGGUGGGUUCCUCCCUUGAUCGACCCCACAUUUCACCUCUCCUUCCACAGGUAUUGAUCCAAGUGACACUCCCUAGUAAACAUCUCAAAACCGAAGUUCGCUUUCUAGAAAACCCAAAAUGCAACAAGAUGAAAAAACAAGAAGUAUCUCUUCUUUACAAUUUACUGUCCUAUUUCAUAACACUAUGUCUUCAUCCAAAAAUAAAUUCCUUCAUUUGGCAGAUAUCUGUGGAGAAACUAUUAUGUUUCCGGCACUGUUCUGGGCACUGAUGUGAUGGAAAUUAAAACACCAACAAGUCUCAUGAGCUCUGUGAACUUUAUAUCCUAGUAGGGUAAAAAUAAUAAGGAAGCAAAUAAAAGAAAAUUUGUGAAAGUGUUAAGAGAUGUGAGGAAAAUAGGUAGUGAGCUGAGAAGGGUGGGAGUGAUCAACUGUUUUUAACUAGGUGUCACGAGAAGGGGCUUCUGAGGCAAAGACUUCAAAGUUGAGGUUAAACUCAGGGAUCCAGGCAUGCCUGUCUUGGGGAGGUGUGGUCCACAUUGGUUUAUCACCUGCCAACUACACGCAGGCACUGGAGGGGAUACUAGGGUUGCAAAAAUCAGCACAAAAUAGUCUGUUGCUCUAAGAAGGCUAUUUUCUAAUUCAUACUCAUAAAUAAUUGGAACAUCUUAACGUAAGGGAAUCUGGGUAUUUUAUUGCCCUCUUGGUUUGAGUAGUUAAAAAAUAUUAACUGACAACACCUUUAUUGAACAGUUAAUACCUGUCAAGCCUUCUUCUAAAUAAUUUUCACAUUCUAACAGAAACAGAAAAUAAGACAGGUAUUAUUAUUACUAUAUUAAUAUUUAACAGUUAAUAAAAUCAAUGCAGAGUAGGUAAUUUCCCAGAAACAUAGUUAGCAAUCAGGAGAAGCAGAAACUAAAACCCAAUAGUCUGAUGUCAGAUCUAGCAGUCUUAAUCCUUUGUAUUAUGUUGAAAUGUCUCCUUGCCAUGCUAUUAGAUGUUAUUUCUCCUAUUGAGUUUAGAAGGGUUAUAUGUUUUUUAAAAAUAGGUGAUCUCUUCAUUUUGCAACAAUAAUUAUUUCUAUAUUCCAAUAUUCAACUAUUUUGCAAUAUGGAAAGUAAUAUAUUUUUCAUUAAAAUGACUUAUAAUAUGAUGGUGUCAUUGUUUCUAUUAGUAAUCUCAGAAAACUUGAAAGCACCAUUAUCAGUUAUU
rnacentral:lncRNA from 10 species